AUUGAACGCUGGCGGCAGGCUUAACACAUGCAAGUCGAGCGGGGAAAGGUAGCUUGCUACCUGACCUAGCGGCGGACGGGUGAGUAAUGCUUAGGAAUCUGCCUAUUAGUGGGGGACAACGUUCCGAAAGGAACGCUAAUACCGCAUACGCCCUACGGGGGAAAGCAGGGGAUCUUCGGACCUUGCGCUAAUAGAUGAGCCUAAGUCGGAUUAGCUAGUUGGUGGGGUAAAGGCCUACCAAGGCGACGAUCUGUAGCGGGUCUGAGAGGAUGAUCCGCCACACUGGGACUGAGACACGGCCCAGACUCCUACGGGAGGCAGCAGUGGGGAAUAUUGGACAAUGGGCGGAAGCCUGAUCCAGCCAUGCCGCGUGUGUGAAGAAGGCCUUUUGGUUGUAAAGCACUUUAAGCGAGGAGGAGGCUCCUUUAGUUAAUACCUAAAGAGAGUGGACGUUACUCGCAGAAUAAGCACCGGCUAACUCUGUGCCAGCCGCCGCCGUAACAC
rnacentral:rRNA from 1 species